GGGUUUGCUCAGUGGUUAGAGCUUAGGUCUUGUGACAGGAAGAUCUCGGGAUCGAAUCUCGCCGGAGCCA
rnacentral:tRNA from 1 species